CCUACGGGUGGCAGCAGUCGAGAAUCAUUCACAAUGGGGGAAACCCUGAUGGUGCGACGCCGCGUGGGGGAAUGAAGGUCUUCGGAUUGUAAACCCCUGUCAUGUGGGAGCAAAUUAAAAAGAUAGUACCACAAGAGGAAGAGACGGCUAACUCUGUGCCAUCAGCCGCGGUAAUACAGAGGUCUCAAGCGUUGUGCGGAAUCACUGGGCGUAAAGCGUGCGUAGGCGGUUUCGUAAGUCGUGUGUGAAAGGUGCGGGCUCAACCCGCGGAGGGCAGCUGAUACUGCGAGACUAGAGUGAAGGAGGGGGAAGCGGAAUGCGCGGUGUAGCAGUGAAAUGCGUAGAUAUCGAGAGGAACACUCGUGGCGAAGGCAGGUUCCUGGACAUUAACUGACGCUGAGGCACGAAGGCGAGGGGAGCGAAAAGGAUUAGAUACCCUAGUAGUC
rnacentral:rRNA from 1 species